ensembl:lncRNA
CAUCAUAUGACACAGUUGCAGCAGCCAUAAAGGAUCCACUCGUCUUGGCCAAAUUGCAGUUCUACGCAGCAAUUGCCAGGACCUUCAAUCCCUUCCUGAAAAAAUAUCAGACGGAUGAGCCUGUGCUCCCAUUCCUCCCCAAAGGACCUGACCGAGUUGAUGAUGUCUACUCAGACGCUUCAUAAAGAGAGACGUACUACACGAUAUCACUGCCCUGCAGCUGACCAAACUGGAUGUCACAGACAAGACCAUCUGGCUCAGCCCACAAGACAUCAGCAUUGGUCUAGGUGCAGAGUCAGUCCUUAAGGUAGUGUGAUGUUUUCAAAAGAUAAUUUUACAAAUGGUUAGGGUGAACCAGGUGUCAUUGAAGACAUGUUCUAUAUUCAUGGCUAAUUUCUCUCUAGAGAAUCAAAGGUGCAGAGCUCAGGGUGCUCGAGUUCAAGAGAGUGCAUGCAGGGACUGAGUAACAUGAUCAAGAAAGUGCAGGACAAGAGCCCCCUCAAGUAUCUGACUGUUAGGCAGAUGGUGUGCCUGAAUCCGUCAGUAAUGUAUAGAGAACCAGAAAGAGGCAGGAAUCACAUGAAAGGGCUGGUUCAAAGGUUUCUCCAGGACAAACAGCUUACUGAUACUUCUUCGGGGGAUGUCAUACUGCAGCAGUUUGACAGUCUCCUUUCCUUGGAGAGCCGGAGUGAGGACUUCCUCUCCUUUCAAACCAUGCAGACGAGGCUGGACAUCUUCCUGAGCAGCGCCAUGGAGCCUUAUCCCGAGCUGUGGGCCUUCUGCAAGAAGCUGCUCAUCCUCAUCCACGGUCAAGCUACAGUUGAGCGUGGAUUCUCAAUCAAUAAAGAGGUGGAGUCUGAUAACUUGGCGGAGGAUACUGUGGUCACACGGAGACUGGUGUGUGACUACAUCAUACAACAUGGAGGUGUUACCAAGGUUCCACUCAGUAAACCGCUACUGGAAAGUGUAGCAAGGGCAAGGACAAGGUAUCGUACCCAUCUGGAGACCAAAAGAAGGAACAGGGAGGCAAAAGACCAGGCUCUCAAGAGGAGGGAAGCAGAGGACUGUCUUGAGGAGCUGAAGGUUAAGAGGAGACGUGUACAGGAGGUAUCUGAGGGUCUGGCUAGGGAUGCGGACAAGAUGGCUGAGGAGGCUGAAGCGAAGGCAGGGAGCAAGAUGGCUGGCCUGAUCACCAGGUCAAACAUUCUGCGGAGAGGCCAUAAGGAGAAGUUGGCAGAACUGGCUCUCCUUGAUAAAGAGAUCGCUGCUAAGAGUGCAGAGCUUAGGAGUUGACUGUGUGAUCAUAAUUUUAUUUAUUGUUGAGUUGAUUUUCAUUGUUUAUUGUUGAGGAGUCUGUGCUGUUGGCGUAAGUACUCACCACUAUGCUGCAAUGUUCCAUCAUUCCAUAAUGCUUUACAGUCCACAUUUUCACAUUUGUUGAAAUAAAUGAACAAAUUUUGAACAAACGUUGUCGGUAGGUCUGUGAAAUAGGCCGUGAAAUAGGUAUUAAUUUUUAUAUAAGUGGUCUUAAAAGGGACUUAAAAAGACUUGAAUUUGACUUGAACAAACCUGUAGGAACCCUGUAAUAAAAUAACCUCAAACAGCU